rnacentral:rRNA from 1 species
GUGAGAGUUGAGAGGUGAGAAUCGAAGAAAUCGACGAAAAGUCGAUUUCAACAAGCAUCACACUUCCCACUUCUCACAUCUCACUUCUAGAGUGGCGGACGGGUGAGUAACACGUGGGCAACCUGCCUGUAAGACUGGGAUAACCCCGGGAAACCGGAGCUAAUACCGGAUAGACAUCAUAGGCGCAUGCAAAUGAUGGGAAAGGUGGCGAAAGCUACUACUUACAGAUGGGCCCGCGGCGCAUUAGCUAGUUGGUAGGGUAGCGGCCUACCAAGGCGACGAUGCGUAGCCGACCUGAGAGGGUGAACGGCCACACUGGGACUGAGACACGGCCCAGACUCCUACGGGAGGCAGCAGUAGGGAAUUUUCCGCAAUGGACGCAAGUCUGACGGAGCAACGCCGCGUGAGUGAGGAAGGUCUUCGGAUCGUAAAACUCUGUCAUUAGGGAAGAACGGCCGAUGUUUAAACAAGGCAUCGGAGUGACGGUACCUAAAGAGGAAGCCCCGGCUAACUACGUGCCAGCAGCCGCGGUAAUACGUAGGGGGCAAGCGUUGUCCGGAAUUAUUGGGCGUAAAGCGCGCGCAGGCGGUCUUUUAAGUCUGAUGUGAAAGCCCACGGCUCAACCGUGGAGGGUCAUUGGAAACUGGGAGACUUGAGUGCAGGAGAGGGAAGUGGAAUUCCAUGUGUAGCGGUGAAAUGCGUAGAGAUAUGGAGGAACACCAGUGGCGAAGGCGACUUUCUGGUCUGUAACUGACGCUGAGGCGCGAAAGCGUGGGGAGCGAACAGGAUUAGAUACCCUGGUAGUCCACGCCGUAAACGAUGAGUGCUAGGUGUUAGGGGUUUCGAUACUCUUAGUGCCGGAGUUAACACAUUAAGCACUCCGCCUGGGGAGUACGACCGCAAGGUUGAAACUCAAAGGAAUUGACGGGGGCCCGCACAAGCAGUGGAGCAUGUGGUUUAAUUCGAAGCAACGCGAAGAACCUUACCAGGGCUUGACAUCCCGCUGACGGGUAUAGAGAUAUACCGUUUUCUUCGGAGACAGCGGAGACAGGUGGUGCAUGGUUGUCGUCAGCUCGUGUCGUGAGAUGUUGGGUUAAGUCCCGCAACGAGCGCAACCCUUGAU